GUAAACCCAGAGAUUGAUCUACUCCUUCAGACUAACUCCACAUGUAUAUAUACAGCCAGCUUUGUUUGCAAGCGUCUAUCGCUAGCUGAUCGAAGCAGCUUCACUUCACAUGUUACCCAGCGGGAGCUUCGCUGUUCUCUCUUUCUUCCUCCUCCUCCCUGAUGCUGCCCCUCCUCUUUCUACACAACCGUUUCACCAUUUUCUAGGCAUCUUCAGCUUGUGGCAAUGUAUGAUCAUCUGAGGACUUGCAUGUGGGGAGGAGGUUGUGUUUUGUUGUGUAGCCAAGGAUGACUUGCCGGCCACUGUCUCUCGCCGUGAAACGUUAACCGUGAGACACCGACCGGCAGGUUUUUCUCGCUGGCUACAUGAUAGCCUCGUUUUCUCAUGCAGGAUCUCAGAUGGUGUGAUCCGGCCAGUUCAUGCAUUAUUGUUUGUUAAUUCUUCAGUAAAGUUGAUGGUACAUCGGUAUGUGUGUGCUUUCCCGUUUCUGAAUCGCGAAUCACUUGUGUUCUUGACGAUGCGCUUGCUCCUUUGAAUUUCUUCAAGCUUCUGUGACAGGUAGCCAGGCUAUGUGACUGGCAGGUUCUUCGAUUUGGCUACAUGAGAAUUGAGAUGGCCUCGUUUUCUCGUGCAGGACCCUCAGAUGGUGUGAUCCGGCUAGUUCUCUACUCUGUUCUUCAGUUUGGUUAUGCUUCUGUGACAACAGGUAGCCAGAUUUAUCGUACAUGCAUCUUGGAGGGAGCUGCAGAUUUAUCCUACUGGAUUCAGAUGAUUGACGUGGAGUAGUUUCUGUUCUCUGAAACGCGUACGGACCCUCCUUUGUCUUCUUCUUGUUCUUUGCGUUGUGCGAGAUUGCAACUGCAAGGCGCCCACCGCCCAAGAUGAGAAAGAAUAAUAGCUAAUAGCCGAAUGAAGAUCCUGAGCAGCUUGGGACGUGGUGGUAAACUAGUAAUUAGGAUCCCUGAAUCAACAUGCAUUCUGAAGACUUUGCAUACCUAUUUCGUUAGUUUCAUGUUCAUGACUAGAGACUAGAGAGUACAGAUGAUAUUUUUUCUGUUAGUAAGAAAAUAUAUCGAUAUUU